rnacentral:rRNA from 1 species
GAGUUUGAUCGUGGCUCAGAUUGAACGCUGGCGGCAGGCCUAACACAUGCAAGUCGAGCGGUAGAGAGAAGCUUGCUUCUCUUGAGAGCGGCGGACGGGUGAGUAAUGCCUAGGAAUCUGCCUGGUAGUGGGGGAUAACGCUCGGAAACGGACGCUAAUACCGCAUACGUCCUACGGGAGAAAGCAGGGGACCUUCGGGCCUUGCGCUAUCAGAUGAGCCUAGGUCGGAUUAGCUAGUUGGUGAGGUAAUGGCUCACCAAGGCGACGAUCCGUAACUGGUCUGAGGGGAUGAUCAGUCACACUGGAACUGAGACACGGUCCAGACUCCUACGGGAGGCAGCAGUGGGGAAUAUUGGACAAUGGGCGAAAGCCUGAUCCAGCCAUGCCGCGUGUGUGAAGAAGGUCUUCGGAUUGUAAAGCACUUUAAGUUGGGAGGAAGGGCAGUAAAUUAAUACUUUGCUGUUUUGACGUUACCGACAGAAUAAGCACCGGCUAACUCUGUG